rnacentral:rRNA from 1 species
GGGAAGACACCAGUGGCGAAGGCGCUCUACUGGGCCGUAACUGACGCUGAGGGACGAAAGCUAGGGGAGCGAAAGGGAUUAGAUACCCCUGUAGUCCUAGCUGUAAACGAUGGAUACUAGGUGUUGGACGUAUCGACCCGUUCAGUACCGCAGCCAACGCGAUAAGUAUCCCGCCUGGGGAGUACGCACGCAAGUGUGAAACUCAAAGGAAUUGACGGGGGCCCGCACAAGCGGUGGAGUAUGUGGUUUAAUUCGAUGCAACGCGAAGAACCUUACCAGGGCUUGACAUCCCUCGAAUCUCUGUGAAAGCGGAGAGUGCCUUCGGGAGCGAGGAGGCAGGUGGUGCAUGGCUGUCGUCAGCUCGUGUCGUGAGAUGUUGGGUUAAGUCCCGCAACGAGCGCAACCCACGUCCUUAGUUGCCAUCAUUCAGUUGGGCACUCUGGGGAGACUGCCGGGGACAACUCGGAGGAAGGUGUGGAUGACGUCAAGUCAUCAUGCCCCUUACGUUCUGGGCUACACACGUACUACAAUGCUUCGGACAAAGGGCAGCCAACUAGCGAUAGUGAGCUAAUCCCAUAAACCGAGGCACAGUUCAGAUUGCAGGCUGCAACUCGCCUGCAUGAAGGAGGAAUCGCUAGUAAUCGCCGGUCAGCAUACGGCGGUGAAUACGUUCCCGGGCCUUGUACACACCGCCCGUCACACCAUGGGAGUUGGCCACGCCC